rnacentral:misc_RNA from 1 species
AACUUUCAACAACGGAUCACUUGGCUUUCGCAUCGAUGAAGAACGCAGCGAAAUGCGAUAAGUAAUGUGAAUUGCAGAAUUCAGUGAAUCAUCGAAUCUUUGAACGCACCUUGCGCCCUUUGGCUAUUCCGAAGGGCAUGCCUGUUUGAGUAUCAUGAACACCUCAACUCUCAUGGCUUGCCAUGAUGAGCGUGUUCUCUGCGGGUCUUGCUGGCUCAAGGUCAGCUCCUCUUAAACGUAUCAGGCUUCCAGUGUUUGGUGGCAUCACAGGAGUGAUAACUAACUACACUUGUGGUGGCCUCCCAGGUAACCUUCAGUGAUGGAGGUCGCUGGAGCUAAUAAAUGCACAUCUCUCAUUGUAGAGAUGGCCUUUUAGAUGUUUGAUCUCCAAUCAGGUAGGACUACCCGCUGAACUUAAGCAUAUCAAUAAGCGGAGGCU